UCUCUAUCUGUAUAAUCUAUAUAUCUCAUCUCAUAACAUAAAUCAAAACCCAGAUUUGAACAUACAUCACAUACUGAAAUCCAGAUCUUGCGGGUGUUUGAACGAGAUCAAGUGGAACAGCAGCCGCAGGUUUAGUGUUCCACUUCGUUACACAACCGCAAGCCAAGCUCUUGUGGGUACUAGCUACUAGGCAGAUGUGGGUGGCGGUGGUUGGGGCAAAAGUGGGAGACGGCGGUUUAGGGCAGAGGUGGGUGGCGCCAGUUGUGGUCAGCAGGUGGAUUGUUUCCGGUGGUUGACUGCAGUGGUGGUGAUUGUCUCCGGUGGCGACGGUUGUGGUCAACUGGUGGUGGUGUUUGUCCUGGUUAUAAGAAUCUUCGCUAGUGGAGUUGAUUAGAAGUGAUGUUAUGCUGGUUAGAUUGAUAGGAUUUUGGUUUUAAUUAUAAAGCUAUGUACCGAUAAUAUGGUGGAGUUUGCAUAAAUGGAUAUCAAAGGAAGCUUUUACUUUACACCAUCACAUACGAAUCGGCUACAACUUGGAGCAUAUAUAUGUAAUUUUCACUUUUAGCAUUUUUAUAUAUUGGGGAUGGAUUUGAUGAAAUUAGUUGAUGGGUUUUAUGCUUUAAUGGGAUCUAGAGAUUGGUUUUAAUGAAAAUUGAUUAAUGAUUAUGAUUUGAGGAUGUGUAUCGUGUGUGUAUGAGAAAUAUAAAGAUUUGAUGA